rnacentral:rRNA from 1 species
GCAAGUCGAGCGGAAACGAGAAGUAGCUUGCUACUUCGGCGUCGAGCGGCGGAUGGGUGAGUAAUGCUUGGGAAUAUGCCUUAUGGUGGGGGACAACAGUUGGAAACGACUGCUAAUACCGCAUAACGUCUACGGACCAAAGGGGGGGAUCUUCGGACCUCCCGCCAUUUGAUUAGCCCAAGUGAGAUUAGCUAGUUGGUGAGGUAAUGGCUCACCAAGGCGACGAUCCCUAGCUGGUCUGAGAGGAUGAUC